GGGUUGUGAGGUUAAGCGACUAAGCGUACACGGUGGAUGCCCUGGCAGUCAGAGGCGAUGAAGGACGUGCUAAUCUGCGAUAAGCGUCGGUAAGGUGAUAUGAACCGUUAUAACCGGCGAUUUCCGAAUGGGGAAACCCAGUGUGUUUCGACACACUAUCAUUAACUGAAUCCAUAGGUUAAUGAGGCGAACCGGGGGAACUGAAACAUCUAAGUACCCCGAGGAAAAGAAAUCAACCGAGAUUCCCCCAGUAGCGGCGAGCGAACGGGGAGCAGCCCAGAGCCUGAAUCAGUGUGUGUGUUAGUGGAAGCGUCUGGAAAGGCGCGCGAUACAGGGUGACAGCCCCGUACACAAAAAUGCACAUGCUGUGAGCUCGAUGAGUAGGGCGGGACACGUGGUAUCCUGUCUGAAUAUGGGGGGACCAUCCUCCAAGGCUAAAUACUCCUGACUGACCGAUAGUGAACCAGUACCGUGAGGGAAAGGCGAAAAGAACCCCGGCGAGGGGAGUGAAAAAGAACCUGAAACCGUGUACGUACAAGCAGUGGGAGCACGCUUAGGCGUGUGACUGCGUACCUUUUGUAUAAUGGGUCAGCGACUUAUAUUCUGUAGCAAGGUUAACCGAAUAGGGGAGCCGAAGGGAAACCGAGUCUUAACUGGGCGUUAAGUUGCAGGGUAUAGACCCGAAACCCGGUGAUCUAGCCAUGGGCAGGUUGAAGGUUGGGUAACACUAACUGGAGGACCGAACCGACUAAUGUUGAAAAAUUAGCGGAUGACUUGUGGCUGGGGGUGAAAGGCCAAUCAAACCGGGAGAUAGCUGGUUCUCCCCGAAAGCUAUUUAGGUAGCGCCUCGUGAAUUCAUCUCCGGGGGUAGAGCACUGUUUCGGCAAGGGGGUCAUCCCGACUUACCAACCCGAUGCAAACUGCGAAUACCGGAGAAUGUUAUCACGGGAGACACACGGCGGGUGCUAACGUCCGUCGUGAAGAGGGAAACAACCCAGACCGCCAGCUAAGGUCCCAAAGUCAUGGUUAAGUGGGAAACGAUGUGGGAAGGCCCAGACAGCCAGGAUGUUGGCUUAGAAGCAGCCAUCAUUUAAAGAAAGCGUAAUAGCUCACUGGUCGAGUCGGCCUGCGCGGAAGAUGUAACGGGGCUAAACCAUGCACCGAAGCUGCGGCAGCGACACUAUGUGUUGUUGGGUAGGGGAGCGUUCUGUAAGCCUGCGAAGGUGUGCUGUGAGGCAUGCUGGAGGUAUCAGAAGUGCGAAUGCUGACAUAAGUAACGAUAAAGCGGGUGAAAAGCCCGCUCGCCGGAAGACCAAGGGUUCCUGUCCAACGUUAAUCGGGGCAGGGUGAGUCGACCCCUAAGGCGAGGCCGAAAGGCGUAGUCGAUGGGAAACAGGUUAAUAUUCCUGUACUUGGUGUUACUGCGAAGGGGGGACGGAGAAGGCUAUGUUGGCCGGGCGACGGUUGUCCCGGUUUAAGCGUGUAGGCUGGUUUUCCAGGCAAAUCCGGAAAACUAAGGCUGAGGCGUGAUGACGAGGCACUACGGUGCUGAAGCAACAAAUGCCCUGCUUCCAGGAAAAGCCUCUAAGCAUCAGGUAACAUCAAAUCGUACCCCAAACCGACACAGGUGGUCAGGUAGAGAAUACCAAGGCGCUUGAGAGAACUCGGGUGAAGGAACUAGGCAAAAUGGUGCCGUAACUUCGGGAGAAGGCACGCUGAUAUGUAGGUGAAGNNNNNNNNNNNNNNNNNNNNNNNNNNNNNNNNNNNNNNNNNNNNNNNNNNNNNNNNNNNNNNNNNNNNNNNNNNNNNNNNNNNNNNNNNNNNNNAGCGCAAGCGAAGCUCUUGAUCGAAGCCCCGGUAAACGGCGGCCGUAACUAUAACGGUCCUAAGGUAGCGAAAUUCCUUGUCGGGUAAGUUCCGACCUGCACGAAUGGCGUAAUGAUGGCCAGGCUGUCUCCACCCGAGACUCAGUGAAAUUGAACUCGCUGUGAAGAUGCAGUGUACCCGCGGCAAGACGGAAAGACCCCGUGAACCUUUACUAUAGCUUGACACUGAACAUUGAGCCUUGAUGUGUAGGAUAGGUGGGAGGCUUGGAAGUGUGGACGCCAGUCUGCAUGGAGCCGACCUUGAAAUACCACCCUUUAAUGUUUGAUGUUCUAACGUUGACCCGUAAUCCGGGUUGCGGACAGUGUCUGGUGGGUAGUUUGACUGGGGCGGUCUCCUCCUAAAGAGUAACGGAGGAGCACGAAGGUUGGCUAAUCCUGGUCGGACAUCAGGAGGUUAGUGCAAUGGCAUAAGCCAGCUUGACUGCGAGCGUGACGGCGCGAGCAGGUGCGAAAGCAGGUCAUAGUGAUCCGGUGGUUCUGAAUGGAAGGGCCAUCGCUCAACGGAUAAAAGGUACUCCGGGGAUAACAGGCUGAUACCGCCCAAGAGUUCAUAUCGACGGCGGUGUUUGGCACCUCGAUGUCGGCUCAUCACAUCCUGGGGCUGAAGUAGGUCCCAAGGGUAUGGCUGUUCGCCAUUUAAAGUGGUACGCGAGCUGGGUUUAGAACGUCGUGAGACAGUUCGGUCCCUAUCUGCCGUGGGCGCUGGAGAACUGAGGGGGGCUGCUCCUAGUACGAGAGGACCGGAGUGGACGCAUCACUGGUGUUCGGGUUGUCAUGCCAAUGGCACUGCCCGGUAGCUAAAUGCGGAAGAGAUAAGUGCUGAAAGCAUCUAAGCACGAAACUUGCCCCGAGAUGAGUUCUCCCUGACUCCUUGAGAGUCCUGAAGGAACGUUGAAGACGACGACGUUGAUAGGCCGGGUGUGUAAGCGCAGCGAUGCGUUGAGCUAACCGGUACUAAUGAACCGUGAGGCUUAACCUUACAACGCCGAAGGUGUUU
rnacentral:rRNA from 1 species